UGGAGGAAAGCAGGGGAUCGCAAGACCUUGCGCUUUUGGAGUGGCCGAUGCCUGAUUAGCUAGUUGGUAGGGUAAUGGCUUACCAAGGCGACGAUCAGUAGUUGGUCUGAGAGGACGACCAGCCACACUGGGACUGAGACACGGCCCAGACUCCUACGGGAGGCAGCAGUGGGGAAUUUUGGACAAUGGGCGAAGGCCUGAUCCAGCAAUGCCGCGUGAGUGAAGAAGGCCUUCGGGUUGUAAAGCUCUUUCAGUCGAGAAGAAAAGGUUGUGACUAAUAAUCACAACUCAUGACGGUAUCGACAGAAGAAGCACCGGCUAACUACGUGCCAGCAGCCGCGGUAAUACGUAGGGUGCGAGCGUUAAUCGGAAUUACUGGGCGUAAAGGGUGCGCAGGCGGCUUUGUAAGUCAGAUGUGA
rnacentral:rRNA from 1 species